UUGAAAUUACUGGAAGUACAGAUAAAUUCAUAUCUACAGCUGAUAUAAUUCUGUGUUGAUUACAACUUCACAUUAACUCUCCUUAUGAACAUCAUGUCAGUUUAAGCAAGGAGUUUUCAUAAUCUGCAGAACAGCUAGCUUUGUAAAUGCUGCAUAAUUUGCACUGAGGAGCUGAGCUAAACCUACACUCUAUGAGUAGAUCACAGUCAGGAUUGGUCAGGUUUGUGGCUCUGUGUAUGUGUGAGUGGUUUGACUGACUCAGGGAGUUCUGUUUUAAGAUACAGUCACCGAGUUGAGAAAAACGAACAAAUCUCUAAAAGCUGCUGGGGGAAAAUAAAUAAAUAAAUAAAAAUGCCAUUUCUGUUAUCGAUUGUCCCUUAAACUGUGGGUGGCAGUAGUGACCAGGGAGAGGGAAUUCUUGGUAGCCUCCUCCACAGCCCUGACAUCCAGUGAAUGUUUCUGGAGGAGGCAGCACUAAUUGCUGCCCCAAGACUGAAAGGCUGAGCUCACAAUGGAUAAACACAUUAGUUUGUAAAUGAGGGAUUAAGUCAGGAGCCCAUGCUAACAACCCAGUUCAGCAACUCUACAAUCACCACAGUAUGAUGAUAUCAGUGAUGACAAAGUGAAAGAGAUGGAGAUGCCAAGGAGGCUGUCAAGUAGCUCUUCUAAACCACAAAUUUCAACAGAUCGGCUGCAACUUUUGUUCAUGCAAAACAAGUUUUAAUACCGAGAGUUACUACAUGAGCUAAGAACAACCCUGCAUGAUGAGCAUGCUGGAAUGAAAUUCCCAGCACAGGCUGCAUCCUGUCCUGUUGCCACACUCCCUGGUUUCUUUCACCACAAUGCUGCUUGGAACAAAGCUAAAUCUGAACAAAUAAAUAAAUUAACAAUUGUUACAUCUUCCAUGAUUUCACUUUGAAAUUUUUUGUCAAUUAAAACAUGUCUACCAGGGGUGUGUCACACUGUUUCCUGUUUUUAUAUUUCCACUCAGUUUCAAGGAAGCAUGGCCCAUUACAAUAGUUUGUACCAUUAUUCUUUCCUGAGAAGUGAUGAGGGGAAUGUUCGGUGACAAACAAGGAUCAUCAUAUUUCAGUGAUGCAGUGUGGUGAUGGUGUGUUUAGUUCUUCCUUUUAGUUGUCUGCUGAAGAUUAUGAAUUUUUCAGGACAAUAAAGUGUGGAAGCAUAGAUGUUUUCCA
rnacentral:lncRNA from 1 species